rnacentral:rRNA from 1 species
AUUUUAAAAAGUUGUUGACUUAAAUGUUAAUAAAAUGUAUAAUUAAUUCUUGUCGGUAAGAAAGAGAAGCUUGCUUCUCUGAUGUUAGCGGCGGACGGGUGAGUAACACGUGGAUAACCUACCUAUAAGACUGGGAUAACUUCGGGAAACCGGAGCUAAUACCGGAUAAUAUUUUGAACCGCAUGGUUCAAAAGUGAAAGACGGUCUUGCUGUCACUUAUAGAUGGAUCCGCGCUGCAUUAGCUAGUUGGUAAGGUAACGGCUUACCAAGGCAACGAUGCAUAGCCGACCUGAGAGGGUGAUCGGCCACACUGGAACUGAGACACGGUCCAGACUCCUACGGGAGGCAGCAGUAGGGAAUCUUCCGCAAUGGGCGAAAGCCUGACGGAGCAACGCCGCGUGAGUGAUGAAGGUCUUCGGAUCGUAAAACUCUGUUAUUAGGGAAGAACAUAUGUGUAAGUAACUGUGCACAUCUUGACGGUACCUAAUCAGAAAGCCACGGCUAACUACGUGCCAGCAGCCGCGGUAAUACGUAGGUGGCAAGCGUUAUCCGGAAUUAUUGGGCGUAAAGCGCGCGUAGGCGGUUUUUUAAGUCUGAUGUGAAAGCCCACGGCUCAACCGUGGAGGGUCAUUGGAAACUGGAAAACUUGAGUGCAGAAGAGGAAAGUGGAAUUCCAUGUGUAGCGGUGAAAUGCGCAGAGAUAUGGAGGAACACCAGUGGCGAAGGCGACUUUCUGGUCUGUAACUGACGCUGAUGUGCGAAAGCGUGGGGAUCAAACAGGAUUAGAUACCCUGGUAGUCCACGCCGUAAACGAUGAGUGCUAAGUGUUAGGGGGUUUCCGCCCCUUAGUGCUGCAGCUAACGCAUUAAGCACUCCGCCUGGGGAGUACGACCGCAAGGUUGAAACUCAAAGGAAUUGACGGGGACCCGCACAAGCGGUGGAGCAUGUGGUUUAAUUCGAAGCAACGCGAAGAACCUUACCAAAUCUUGACAUCCUUUGACAACUCUAGAGAUAGAGCUUUCCCCUUCGGGGGACAAAGUGACAGGUGGUGCAUGGUUGUCGUCAGCUCGUGUCGUGAGAUGUUGGGUUAAGUCCCGCAACGAGCGCAACCCUUAAGCUUAGUUGCCAUCAUUAAGUUGGGCACUCUAAGUUGACUGCCGGUGACAAACCGGAGGAAGGUGGGGAUGACGUCAAAUCAUCAUGCCCCUUAUGAUUUGGGCUACACACGUGCUACAAUGGACAAUACAAAGGGCAGCGAAACCGCGAGGUCAAGCAAAUCCCAUAAAGUUGUUCUCAGUUCGGAUUGUAGUCUGCAACUCGACUACAUGAAGCUGGAAUCGCUAGUAAUCGUAGAUCAGCAUGCUACGGUGAAUACGUUCCCGGGUCUUGUACACACCGCCCGUCACACCACGAGAGUUUGUAACACCCGAAGCCGGUGGAGUAACCUUUUAGGAGCUAGCCGUCGAAGGUGGGACAAAUGAUUGGGGUGAAGUCGUAACAAGGUAGCCGUAUCGGAAGGUGCGGCUGGAUCACCUCCUUU